AGAGCCAUGCUUUGAAGAUAAAGAGUACAACAAUCAAACAUUGGGACAGAGGAUGAUUGACCACACGGUUAAAGAAAAUGGUGAUUGAAUGAUUUCAGAUGCAUUAAUUAAAAUACUUCUUAUGGGCACAACCUUUCGCCUCCAUCUUCCUUGUUCACCAUGCGUCAUCUGUCCAUUGAAAAAUCUGUAAUUGGAAACUAAUUCCGGUUGGGAAGGGCUUCUUCGAGUUCUUCUUCGCAUCCUUGGAGAAUCUACUUAGUGUUUAGGCUGUGGGAACAUGGAACCUACAGUUGGGCUUGUUGAGAUUACUCCAGUGGACCCUUGAUUUCACUUCGAAUAAUAUGCGACAGACCCGUGCCCAAUGUUGGUUAGAAUUCUUGACCUACCACAAGAAAAUUGGAGCCCCAAGCUACUGUUUGAGAUUGUCGGGGGAAUUGAUUCUCCGAUUGUGCUAGAUGAGGCUACAAAGAACAGAUCUCUAUGAAGUACCAACACUGACACGAACAUCCAGACAUGGUGUCGUGUCGGUGUCGGUAUCGUGUCGGACACCGGACACGGCAAGGGGCUGGAGUGUCCGUGUUUUAUAGGCAGAUCCUUUGGGCAUUUUGCUCGUGUUCUAGUGGAUUUAGACUUGACAUGGAAGCUUCAUUCUGAAUUUUUAGUUGAAUGAGAAUCCUUCGCUUUAUUCGUGAGGAUUGAAUACAAAAAAUUACCCUCGCUCUAUGAUUUUUGCAAGUCUGUGGGUCAUGAUCUCUCCCAUUGUAAGAGAAAAGCGGUUCAGGAACAACCAAGACCAACACCAAAGCCUAGCACCCUCCAAAACGGGAAGUUUGUUGCUCUUAUUGAUUAUUCCCUGAAGAGACUUGACAAUGCUCGCCCAACUUCCCCAAGGCCUCAAAUUGGGAAUUCUAACCUUGUAAAAGAGGAAGGCCAAAAUGGUUUAUCUGUGGGAAUUGGUCAACAACCAUCUGCUCAAGAGGCCUCAUCUUCAGAUACCAAAGACUCCAAUUUACAAAGUGCAAUUGGAGUAUCUCUAGAAUCCCGCCCCGCUAAAAGGCAAAAUACUAGUCCUGGUUCAAAAUCAAAGAACUGGAAUGAAAGGAAGCAAUAAGAUUUUAAAACGCUUAAAAAGUUGUGAGCUGAUGAAGUUGAAGCAAACACUGGGGAACUACCUCAAGACCCUUUGUUGGAGGAGGAUGGACAAUUCACUAAAGUUCUUUCAAGAUCGCAAAAAAAGAAAGAUAAGGCAAAAUCUACUGCCUCUACUAAAGGGAAAAGACUCAAAAAUCACUUUGCGAUUGUUAAAAACAAGCAGUCAUCAUGAAGUUUCUCUAUUGGAAUAUAAGAGGUAUUUCAAACCUUGAUUCAAGUUUAUGCUUCUAUUGCUUAUAUUAAACGCAAGGGACUGUGGGGGGAGUAAACCCUUUUGCACUAGCAGCACCAUGGUCCUUGGAGUUUCGUAGGCAAUUUCAAUUCCAUUAAUGAGGCUCAUGAAAAGAAGGGGGGCAUAAUUCCUUUUCAUCUUGCUUGUGAAGAGUUCAAAGCUUGGAUUGAUGUCAAUCUUCUCACCUAUCUUGACACUAGGGGAGUUGAGUUCACUUGGUCCAACAACAUAAAGGCCAAUGCCCGUAUUGAUCUUAGAUUAAAGAAAGUUAUUUGCAACAAUGAAUGCUUCCAAUGUUGGCCUUGGUUAUCUGAUUGCACCCUGCCCAAAAGCAAAUCCGAUCACCACCCUAUUCUCUUGGUGUUGCAGUGAGCUGACAACAAGGUUGCUCUCCUUUUACGUUCCUUAAAAUGUGAUCUGGUGAUCAUGAUUGUCUCAAGGUGGUCAAAGAGGUUUGGGACACAUCGGUCUCAGGGUGUGUGAUGUACUCAAAAACUUAGACUGCUAAAAAAAUCUAUGAAGUAAUGGAACAAAUCCUGCUUUGGCAAUGCUGAGCAUAGUGCAAAUCAAGCCUUAGAUUGGGUAGCUUUUGUUCAACAACAAAUUUCUACUCAAGGACCUACAAAGGACCUCAUUGCUGCUGAUGCCCAAGCCUAACACCAACUUCAGCAAGCUUUCAAACUCCAAGAUGAUUAUUGGAGAGAAAAAGCCAAGGUUGACCAGCAUGUCAAUGCUGACCUAAAAAUCAACCUUCUUUCAUAGAAUAGUUCGUAUUAGACAAUCUAAGAAUGUUAUAUCCUUGCUGAAAAAAGAUGAAAGAUGAAUUGAUUAUUCAAGAUCUGAUUGAGAUCGAGCAACA